GCAAUCGGGAAGGGGUUCGAGGCAGUUGGUUCCAGAUCGAAAGAUUGAUACCAAGUGUUGGUUGAUUGCUCUCUUUCUCCUUGUCCUGCAAGUGAAAACAACGAUAAGGAGAAGGACAGGGAGAAAGCAUGAUAUGAGAUACUCUUGCUUUCAACCUUCAUGAUAUGAAAUACUUUUGCUUUUGAUGCGUUGUUUGCAGAGGUAUCCCAGGGAAUAAGGAACACUGAGUGACUCGAGAGCCUUUGUCGGGAAGGCAUUCUCGGAGAUGAAGAAGGGUUAUGUAUGUCUGCCUUGUAAUGGAGAGUGAAGGUCGACAUUUAUAUGAAUUAAUAACCGGUACUAUUCUUUCACUCUUAUCGGCAACCGUUGGAUGAUUGAACAGUAAACUUCACGAGUUUUCUACGUCACCAGAAAUCUUCGACAGAUUGCCCGUAAUUUCUGCAAGGCUGAGUGUGUAUGUGACAGGUGCUGACACGUCUGGAAAAGCAGGUGCCUCUUUGAUAUCUGAAAU
rnacentral:lncRNA from 1 species